AUUUACAUACUCAUCAGUGUGAACUCUGCAAAACCACUGAUUAUUUUAGAAAUGUUUCGUAACACAUUACAAACACGCGUUACCAUGGGUGAGUGUACGCUAAUGUAUUUGAGUAAUGCUUGUCUCGUUUGUAUACAUGAAAAAUGGGUCUUCUGAAAUAGGAACAUUGAAGUUUAGGCUUACUACAAAUAUCAAAGUAACAUGUUUUCAUGUAGAUGUACAUGCAACUUGUGAAAAUUUAGGAUACGUAUGUAAUCAUAGUUAAUAUUAAUUAUUAUAUAAUCGGUAUUCCCAAUAAGUAUUGCUCCUCCAAAUUAAUGAAAACAACAACUUGUAAAUAUUGCACAGUACACGAAGCAAAAGAAAUCACAGCUGUUGCAACAUGCUGUCAAACACGACUUCAGCAUGAAACGUUACAAUCAUGUUUAGUUUUGUCCAUGUAAGCUUUUCAUACCUGGAAGCUGAAGACAUUGCCUUGCACUUAUACUUCCGGCCGUUUGCCUCAUUGCUAAUGAAACAUGUCAGUCUGUCGGAGCUGCUUUUCACGUGUCA